ensembl:lincRNA Gm6994 predicted gene 6994
AUGUGUAUGUCCCAUGUGCACGCCUGGUGCCGGAAGAGUCCAAAGCAGCAGCAGCAGAGCCCCUGGAACUGGAGCUAUGGACGGUUGGCUGUGAGCUACCACGCAGGGCAAGGGCGUACAGACAUGGGCAGGCAAGGAGGCAGGGAUCCUCUGAAGUUACACAGCCUAAGAACACGACCAGCAGGGAUGUAUCCAGGAAAAUGUAAUCACCAGAAGUUACAGCUUGCUGCAUCCAGAAGAAAUAAGAUGAUGCUGACAUUUAAAAGAUUUCUCCCACCGAGGAAACACCUGCUCUGUCCAGCACCAUUUGAAGUUCUGUACCAGCAAGCACUUCCUCCAGAGAAGGGAGGUGCAGCUAGCUUGGUUGAAGGUAAGGAUCAAAGAAUUGUAAACACCAGCUUCCUAAGUCUGAUGAUGAGCAUCACAAGUUGA